GUUACUUCGGUACAUCGGUGACAGGUGGUGCAUGGUUGUCGUCAGCUCGUGUCGUGAGAUGUUGGGUUAAGUCCCGCAACGAGCGCAACCCCUAUUGUUAGUUUGCCAUCAUUCAGUUGGGCACUCUAGCGAGACUGCCGGUAAUAAACCGGAGGAAGGUGGGGAUGACGUCAAAUCAUCAUGCCCCUUAUGACCUGGGCUACACACGUGCUACAAUGGUUGGUACAACGAGUUGCGAGUCGGUGACGGCGAGCUAAUCUCUUAAAGCCAAUCUCAGUUCGGAUUGUAGGCUGCAACUCGCCUACAUGAAGUCGGAAUCGCUAGUAAUCGCGGAUCAGCACGCCGCGGUGAAUACGUUCCCGGGCCUU
rnacentral:rRNA from 1 species